CUCGUAGGCGGUUCGUCGCGUCCGGUGUGAAAGUCCAUCGCUUAACGGUGGAUCCGCGCCGGGUACGGGCGGGCUUGAGUGCGGUAGGGGAGACUGGAAUUCCCGGUGUAACGGUGGAAUGUGUAGAUAUCGGGAAGAACACCAAUGGCGAAGGCAGGUCUUUGGGCCGUCACUGACGCUGAGGAGCGAAAGCGUGGGGAGCGAACA
rnacentral:rRNA from 1 species